rnacentral:rRNA from 1 species
GACGAACGCUGGCGGCGUGCUUAACACAUGCAAGUCGAACGGAAAGGCCCUGCUUUUGUGGGGUGCUCGAGUGGCGAACGGGUGAGUAACACGUGAGUAACCUGCCCUUGACUUUGGGAUAACUUCAGGAAACUGGGGCUAAUACCGGAUAGGAGCUCCUGCUGCAUGGUGGGGGUUGGAAAGUUUCGGCGGUUGGGGAUGGACUCGCGGCUUAUCAGCUUGUUGGUGGGGUAGUGGCUUACCAAGGCUUUGACGGGUAGCCGGCCUGGGAGGGUGACCGGACAAGUUGGAAUGGAGCUGCGACACAGCCCCGACGGGGAGGCAGCGGGGGGGAUUGUUGCACAGGGGGGGGGGGCAGAGUCAGAACCCGCCGGGUGGGGGAUGAGGGCCUGGGGUUAGUAAACCGAUUCCCCUUGUCACGGGGGGAGAGUGACGGUACUGGGAAAAGAAGCACCGGCUAACUCGGUG